UUUUUUUUUUUUUUUUUUUUUUUUGUCUUUUUUUUGCUAUUUCUUGGGCAGCUCCCGCAGCAUAUGGAGGUUCCCAGGCUAGGGGUCGAAUUGGAGCUGUAGCCACCGGCCUAUGCCAGAGCCACAGCAACGUGGGAUCCGAGCCGCAUCUGCAGCCUACACCACAGCUCACGGCAAUGCCAGAUCCUUAACCCACUGAGCAAGGGCAGGGACCGAACCCGCAACCUCAUGGUUCCUAGUCAGAUUCGUUAACCACUGCGCCACGACGGGAACUCCUCUUUGCAUUUUCAUAUGUCUUUUAGAAUCUGCUAUCAAUGUCUAUUUUGAAUAUCCAUUUCUAUUUGAAAAGUCUGCUGGCGUCAUGCUGUUACAUUAACUCUAGAGAUCAAUUUGGGGAGAACUGACAUCUUGAAACCAUUGAAACUUCUAAUCCAUAACUGAGAAAUAUCUCUUUAUCCAGGUCUUAUUUAAUUUCACUCAUCAAUUUUUAGUAGUUUGUAAACAGAGGUCUCACAUGCAUUUUAUUAAAUUUAUUCCUACAUUGUAUGUUAUUUGAUGCUGUUGAAAUGGAAUUUGGUUUUGUAUUUCACUUUCCAGUUGUUUGCGGCUGGUAUGUAGAAAUAAAAGAAAAAGGAGUUCCAGUUGUACUAUACACCUGUAACUGAUAUAAUUUGUAUGUCCAUUAUGAUAGGAAAAAAAAAGUUUCUUUUAGGGCCACACCUGUGGUUAUAUGGAGUUCGCAGGCUUUGGAUCGAAUCAGAGCUGCAGCUGCUGCCUACACCACAGCCGGCAACACCGGAUCCAAGCUGCACAUGCGACCUACACUGCAGCUCAUGGCAACACCGGACCCUUAACCCACUGAGUGAGGUCAGGGAUUGAACCUGAGUCCUCAUGGUUACCAGUUGAGUUCUUAACCCACUGAGCCACAACAGGAACUCCGUAGAAAAAAAUUUUAAUAAAAAAAAGAAAUUGGCUCUCAAUAUUGUAACAAAAGAUGACCUUAUAGCUCUUAUCACGUAGGAAAAUACAAGUGUUCUUUGCUAGGAACCAUGGACAAAAGCCAAAAUAGAUAUUUCUUAUUCUAUCACAAUAUCGCAGUUCCCAUAAUUGGCCGAAAAUUUCUAUUAUGAAUGGGUAUCGAAUUGUAUCAAAUGAUUUUUCUGUGUGUUGAGAUGUUCAAAUGGUUUUUCCCAUUUAUUUUGUUAAUGUGCUUAAUUACAUUGAUUUUUCAGAUGACAGGCCAACUUUGAAUUCCCGGGGAUAAACUUCACUUAAUUGUAACAUUGUGCAUCCUGUGUAUAUAUUGCUGAAUUUAAGUUGUCAAUAUUUUUAAAGAGUUUUGCAUCUAUGUUUCUAGGGGAUAUCUAGUCUGCCAUUUUCUUUCUAAUGAAUUUAAGAUAUUGGUAUUGACAUUAUGCUGGUCUUCUACAAGGAGUCUGAAGAUUUCUCUUCUGUUUCAAGACGUGAUGGGAAUCACCAGUGACACCAACAGAGACAGGAGGUUUAUUUUAAUAGCGAAUUCAAUUUCUUGGAUAGAUAGGGGAUUAUUCAGAUAUUCUUUCUUAUUAUGCAUCAGUUUUGAUAAAUUUUGUUUUUUAAGAAAUUUGUUUCCUUUAUGUUGUCGAAAUAAAGACAUAAACGUUGUUUCUAAUGUUUCCUCAUUAUUAUCCUUUUGAUGUUUGUAGGAUCUAGAGUGACAGCCCCUCUUUCAUUCCUCACAUUUUAUAUUUGUGUCUUCUUUUUUCUUCAUCAGCUUAGCUAGUGGUUUAUCGAUUUUAUUUAUCUUUUCCAAGAGCAGAAAGUUGGCUUGUUAAUUUUCUCUUUUCUAUUUGCUAUUUUAUUUAUUUAUGUAUUUACUCACUUUUGGUCUUUUUAGGGCCGCACCUGCAGCAUACUGCAGUUCCCAAGCUAGGGGAUGAAUCGAAGCUGUAGCUGCCAGCCUGUGCCAUAUCCGAGCAGAUCCAAGCUGUGUCUGCAACCUAUACCACAGCUCACAGCAACGGUGGAUCCUUAACCCACUGAGCAAGGCCAGGGAUCAAAACCGUGUGCUCAUGGAUACUAGUUAGGUUCAUUACCGCUGAGCCACAACGGGAACUCCCUAUUUUCUAGGUUACUGAUUUCUGCUUUUGUCUUUACUAUUUCCUAAAUAAAAAAUGCUUCCUUUAGAUUAAAUUUGCUCAUCUUUUCCUAAGUUUCUUAACAGAGAAACUUAGAUAAUUGAUUUUUGAUCUUUUUUCAUUAUCAUUCUGUUCAAAAUAUUUUCUCAUUUUCCUUGUAAUUUUUUCUUUGACCCAUGGGUUAUUAGAAAUGAGUUAUUUGGGAGUUUCCAUUGUGGCUUAGUGGGUUAAGAACCCACGUAGUAUCCACAAGGAUUCCAGUUCGAUCCCUGGCCUAGCUCAGUAGGUUAUGGAUCCGGCGUUAGCACAAGCUGCAGUGGAGGUCCCAGAUGCAGCUCGGAUCUGGUGUUGCUGUGACUGUGGUGUGCGCUGGCAGCUGCAGCUUUUAUUCAGCCCCUAGCCUGGGAACUUCUGUAUGCCACAGGGCGGCUUUAAAAAGGUACAAAAAAUAUAUAUAUAUGUUAUUCAGCUUCCAAAUAUUUGGGGGCUUUUAAAAAUAUCUUAUUGAUUUCUAAUUUCAUUCCUAUGUGGUCAGAAAAUAUACUUUGUAUGAUUUCAGUGUAUUUGAACUUCAUGGAGACAUUCUAUGGGCUAUCCUAUGGUCUUAGUGAACAUUUUAUGUGCUCUUGAAAAUAAUGUGUAUUCUGCAGUUUGGGGUAUAACGUUCCAUAAAUGUCAACCACAUUGAGACGGUUGAUGGUGUUGGUCGGCCCUUCUAUAUUCUCAAUGAUUUGGGGGGUUCUAGUUGGGGGGGCAUUAAAAUCUUUAAUCAUAACUCUGGGUUAUCUAUUUCUUUCGUUCUGUCAGUUUUCACUUAAUGUAUUUCAAAACUCUGAUUCAGAUAUACAUGUUCACAUAUAACUGCAGUGUCUUUCUGAUGAACUGACCCUUUUAUCAUGAUAAAAUAUUACUCGUUACCUCUGGCAAUAUUAAUGCAGUAAUUCUGGUUUUCGUGUCUGUGCUCUCUUCAUGGUAUAUCUUCUUCCAUCGUUUAGUUUCAACUCGUCUGUGUCUUUAGAUUUGAACAACUUCUCUGUUCUCAAUAUUACUUUGUGGGGUGUCCUUUUUAUAUGCUGCUGUGUAGCAAAGCGUCCACAUCUCAGAUGCUGAAUAUCACAGCCACUUGCUCUCUCGAGACUGUGUGGGCAGCACUUGGCUGAGCAGUUCUGCUCCUCUGUGUUGGGUUGUUCUCUUGGCCGCAUCCGCCUGAACUGAGCUGGAAGGUCCAAGAAGGUCUCCCUCACUGAACUGGUGCCUCAGUAUUUCUCCGAGUGGCUCAGGCUUCCUCAUGGUAUUUGAACUGUCCUCGGGGUAUUUGAACUUCUUACACGACUGCUGGCUUCUAAGAGGGAGUGUCAUCAAAACAGCGAUUCUAGAAAUUUCAUGUGUCCAUUUUUCUUCCCUUGUUAAUAGCAACUUAAUAUUCUUGCAGGUAAUUUAUUUUCAGGAUUGGUAUCCUUCAGGGGAGGCUGUGCCCUUCUCUACUCUCAGAGGAAGGAUGCAGACAUUUAAUAAUCCAGUCGCGACAAAUCUGCUCCUCUCGUCAGGGACUCAUUUAGAAAUAGGACUCUGCACAGCUCGGCAUGAGGUUUAAGGUCAAGCCAGAAGCAGGGCUUCUGGGAAAGUGCUCCACGGGUCUCAGAAGGGGACACAACAGAGGAGUGUCCCCUUUCCGAUGCUGGAUGUUAUCAUGUGCAUGCGACUCCUGGCGUCGUAUGGCCGUCUUGCCACUAUGCAGGAAGGACAAAAAAAAAGACCGGCCAGUAUGCUGAGACGGCCAAAGUCUGUCCCGAUGAUAUUACUGAGAUACUAAAUCAAUCACCCCUGGAGCCACAACAUGCCCCUUCCCCCAUCUUAAGGCCGUGCAGUUGACAUAUGACAUUGUAUGCGUGUAAGGCAUACAACAUAAUACUUGCUAUAGGUGCAUGUGGUGACAUUAUUACCACAGUGUGAUAAAUUAACAUCUGGCACCUCCCAUAGUCACAAAAAUGUUCUUGUGGUGAGAACACUUAAGAUUUAAUUUCUUAGCGAUUUUCAGAUAUACAAUACGAUAUUGCUACUCUAGUUGCUGUGCUGUCCACUGCAUCCCCAGAACUUAUAUAUCGUAUACCUGCAGGUUUAUACCUUUCGACCACUUUCACCUGUUUCUCCCACUCCCUCCCCGCCAUCUCCGGCAACCACCAGUCUGUUCUCUGUGGCUCGGAGUUCAGGGGUUUUAGAUUCCACAUCUAAGUGAGAUUAUGAUACAGUAUUUGUCUUUGUCUCUGGCUCAUUUCACUUAGCAUAGUGCCCUCGAGGUGCACCUGUGUGGUCACAAAUGGAGAAACGGUGAGAUGUUUUAGGUUUUUGCCCUUCUGUUUUGUAAAAUAAAUUUUAUUUGCAGCCUAAAGCAUUCUCAAAGAUAGAGGAGGAAGAGGUUAAAAUAGAGGUGAUACUGGACCCAGAGCUAUUAAUCCUCUAUUAAGAAAUAUUAGAAUCUUAUGAUUGGUUAUGGAGGGGAGAUGUUUACUACAUUUAAAUUCACAGUACAAGCUACAAAGCAGAGCAAACCACAUAGUAUGAAUUUAAAUGUGUACUUUAUAAAUCAAAUUAAAGACCAAAGAUGCAAAAUCACUGUUUUUCUUCCAAAUGGCAUCAUUACUGUGGAACUGCUGCUGGCAACAGAACCCACGUUGCGCAGAGCUGGAGGUAAAAAUCGAGUGGUCAGAAAAGAUUGUCUCACAGUUCAAAUCCUGGUGACUAAGAUCACAGCUUUCAGCAUUUCAGUCCCAUCAGAAAUCUGGGCUGAAAAAUCUGUAACUGGUUUGUAAAGAUGGGACCUAGAUGAAAAACCUAAAAGAAAUUCCAGAUGACUCGAUCUUAGUCCGGUGUGGCCCUGCUCAGCACAGCUGCUGCUCUGUGUCUUAAUCACAAACAUUUCAUAAAUGAGGCGGCUGGAAUUAACAUAAACACACUGCUGUGUAUAAACUAGAUAAGUUACUCGGACCUACCAUGUAGCACAGGGUAAUCUAUUCAAUACUGUG
rnacentral:lncRNA from 1 species